GGAGGUAGUGACAAUAAAUCACAAUGCGGAACAAUGCUUUGCAAUUGGAUUGAGAACAACGUACAAACCUUAUCGAUAAACAAUUGGAGGGCAAGUCUGGUGCCAGCAGCCGCGGUAAUUCCAGCUCCAAUAGCGUAUAUUAACGUUGUUGCAGUUAAAAAGCUCGUAGUUGAAAUGAAGGGUAGUUGUGUAAUGAAUACAUUCGUGUAUUUUGUUAUUCUACUACCCUCCUUCUAAAUUCGAUAUAUGAGUAUUAAUUUACUUGUAUAUGGUUUUAGACUUUUACUGUGAGAAAAUUAGAGUGUUCAAAGCAGGCAUUUGCUUGAAUAUAUUAGCAUGGAAUAAUCAUGUAUGAUUUUCAUGAUGUAUUUGAUUGGUUUGGUUCAUGAGAAUAAGAUUAAAAGGGACAGUUGGGGGUAUUCAUAUUCAAUAGUCAGAGGUGAAAUUCUCGGAUUUAUGGAAGAUGAACAAGUGCGAAAGCA
rnacentral:rRNA from 1 species